AGACUCCUACGGGAGGCAGCAGUGGGGAAUAUUGGACAAUGGGGGGAACCCUGAUCCAGCCAUGCCGCGUGUGUGAAGAAGGCCUUUUGGUUGUAAAGCACUUUAAGUGGGGAGGAGGCUCUCUUGGUUAAUACCUAGGAAGAGUGGACGUUACCCACAGAAUAAGCACCGGCUAACCCUGUGCCAGCAGCCGCGGUAAUACAGAGGGUGCGAGCGUUAAUCGGAUUUACUGGGCGUAAAGCGCGCGUAGGUGGUUAAUUAAGUCAAAUGUGAAAUCCCCGAGCUUAACUUGGGAAUUGCAUUCGAUACUGGUUAGCUAGAGUAUGGGAGAGGAUGGUAGAAUUCCAGGUGUAGCGGUGAAAUGCGUAGAGAUCUGGAGGAAUACCGAUGGCGAAGGCAGCCAUCUGGCCUAAUACUGACACUGAGGUGCGAAAGCAUGGGGAGCAAACAGGAUUAGAUACCCUGGUAGUCCAUGCCGUAAACGAUGUCUACUAGCCGUUGGGGGAUUUGAUCCUUUAGUGGCGCAGCUAACGCGAUAAGUAGACCGCCUGGGGAG
rnacentral:rRNA from 1 species